UACGGAGGGGGCUAGCGUUGUUCGGAAUUACUGGGCGUAAAGCGCACGUAGGCGGCUUUGUAAGUUAGAGGUGAAAUCCCGGGGCUCAACCUCGGAACUGCCUUUGAUACUGCAAAUCUCGAGUCCGGAAGAGGUGAGUGGAAUUCCUAGUGUAGAGGUGAAAUUCGUAGAUAUUAGGAAGAACACCAGUGGCGAAGGCGGCUCACUGGGCCGGUACUGACGCUGAGGUGCGAAAGCGUGGGGAGCAAACAGG
rnacentral:rRNA from 1 species